UACGUAGGGGGCAAGCGUUGUCCGGAUUUAUUGGGCGUAAAGAGCUCGUAGGUGGUUCGGUAAGUCGGAUGUGAAAUCUCCAGGCUCAACCUGGAGGGGUCAUUCGAUACUGCCGUGACUAGAGGUCGGUAGGGGAGUGUGGAAUUCCUGGUGGAGCGGUGAAAUGCGCAGAUAUCAGGAAGAACACCUAUGGCGAAGGCAGCUCUCUGGGACGGUACUGACGCUGAGACGCGAAAGCGUGGGGAGCGAACAGG
rnacentral:rRNA from 1 species